GGACUUCAGCAAGUUUUCCAGACCAUACACUAAAAUUGAAAUGAUACACAGAAGAUUAGCAUCGCCCCUGUGCAAGGAUAUGACAUGAAAAUUUGUGAAGUAUAUCAUAUUGUU
ensembl:snRNA U6 U6 spliceosomal RNA